rnacentral:misc_RNA from 1 species
CAUUUCCAACUCCGUGCAC